AGCAGUCGCCACGGUAAUACGAAGGGUGCAAGCGUUAAUCGGAAUUACUGGGCGUAAAGCGUGCGUAGGCGGUGAGUUAAGUCUGCUGUGAAAUCCCCGGGCUCAACCUGGGAAUGGCAGUGGAUACUGGCUCGCUAGAGUGUGUCAGAGGAUGGUGGAAUUCCCGGUGUAGCGGUGAAAUGCGUAGAGAUGUGGAGGAACACCGAUGGCGAAGGCAGCCCCCUGGGCCAAUACUGACGCUCAUGCACGAAAGCGUGGGGAGCAAACAGGAUUAGAUACCCCUGUAGUCCCUGUCUCUUAUAC
rnacentral:rRNA from 1 species